rnacentral:sRNA from 1 species
AGGCCACCAUACCAUUUACAUCGGAGUCCAUGUGCCGAAGAGUUACAGGAGAAGGAGACGUCACAAGAGAAAGACAGGGCACAAAGAAAAGAAGGAAAAGGAGAGAAUCUCUGAGAACUACUCUGACAAAUCAGAUAUUGAAAACGCUGAUGAAUCCAGCAGCAGCAUCCUAAAACCUCUCAUCUCUCCUGCUGCAGAACGCAUCCGAUUCAUCUUGGGAGAGGAGGAUGACAGCCCAGCUCCCCCUCAGCUCUUCACGGAACUGGAUGAGCUGCUGGCCGUGGAUGGGCAGGAGAUGGAGUGGAAGGAAACAGCCAGGUGGAUCAAGUUUGAAGAAAAAGUGGAACAGGGUGGGGAAAGAUGGAGCAAGCCCCAUGUGGCCACAUUGUCCCUUCAUAGUUUAUUUGAGCUGAGGACAUGUAUGGAGAAAGGAUCCAUCAUGCUUGAUCGGGAGGCUUCUUCUCUCCCACAGUUGGUGGAGAUGAUUGUUGAGCAUCAGAUUGAGACAGGCCUAUUGAAACCUGAACUUAAGGAUAAGGUGACCUACACUUUGCUCCGGAAGCACCGGCAUCAAACCAAGAAAUCCAACCUUCGGUCCCUGGCUGACAUUGGGAAGACAGUCUCCAGUGCAAGUAGGAUGUUUACCAACCCUGAUAAUGGUAGCCCAGCCAUGACCCAUAGGAAUCUGACUUCCUCCAGUCUGAAUGACAUUUCUGAUAAACCGGAGAAGGACCAGCUGAAGAAUAAGUUCAUGAAAAAAUUGCCACGUGAUGCAGAAGCUUCCAACGUGCUUGUUGGGGAGGUUGACUUUUUGGAUACUCCUUUCAUUGCCUUUGUUAGGCUACAGCAGGCUGUCAUGCUGGGUGCCCUGACUGAAGUUCCUGUGCCCACAAGGUUCUUGUUCAUUCUCUUAGGUCCUAAGGGGAAAGCCAAGUCCUACCAUGAGAUUGGCAGAGCCAUUGCCACCCUGAUGUCUGAUGAGGUGUUCCAUGACAUUGCUUAUAAAGCAAAAGACAGGCACGACCUGAUUGCUGGUAUUGAUGAGUUCCUAGAUGAAGUCAUUGUCCUUCCACCUGGGGAAUGGGAUCCAGCAAUUAGGAUAGAGCCUCCUAAGAGUCUUCCAUCCUCUGACAAAAGAAAGAAUAUGUACUCAGGUGGAGAGAAUGUUCAGAUGAAUGGGGAUACGCCCCAUGAUGGAGGUCACGGAGGAGGAGGACAUGGGGAUUGUGAAGAAUUGCAGCGAACUGGACGGUUCUGUGGUGGACUAAUUAAAGACAUAAAGAGGAAAGUGCCAUUUUUUGCCAGUGAUUUUUAUGAUGCUUUAAAUAUUCAAGCUCUUUCGGCAAUUCUCUUCAUUUAUCUGGCAACUGUAACUAAUGCUAUCACUUUUGGAGGACUGCUUGGGGAUGCCACUGACAACAUGCAGGGCGUGUUGGAGAGUUUCCUGGGCACUGCUGUCUCUGGAGCCAUCUUUUGCCUUUUUGCUGGUCAACCACUCACUAUUCUGAGCAGCACCGGACCUGUCCUAGUUUUUGAGAGGCUUCUAUUUAAUUUCAGCAAGGACAAUAAUUUUGACUAUUUGGAGUUUCGCCUUUGGAUUGGCCUGUGGUCCGCCUUCCUAUGUCUCAUUUUGGUAGCCACUGAUGCCAGCUUCUUGGUUCAAUACUUCACACGUUUCACGGAGGAGGGCUUUUCUUCUCUGAUUAGCUUCAUCUUUAUCUAUGAUGCUUUCAAGAAGAUGAUCAAGCUUGCAGAUUACUACCCCAUCAACUCCAACUUCAAAGUGGGCUACAACACUCUCUUUUCCUGUGCCUGUGUGCCACCUGACCCAGGUGAGGGCAUCACACUUAGUGUUUAUGCUCGCUUUGUAUUUGGAGGAAGGUAUAGGCUCCAUGCUUGCAAAUUUUCAACAUGCUGUCAUGGUCCUCAGGAAUUAGUCUUGUUUUUUUCUCUGAAAAACUCUGCUACUGAAUUUGAUGUCUCAUUGCCUGAGGUAUUUUAGCUGUAUGAUUCAACCAGGAAGGAGACCAGGAGCUCUGGAAUGUGAACAUAACCAACUCAAUAUUUUGAAAUUAACUCAAACUGUGGGAUUUGCAAGGAGUUCAUGUGUACAUUAUUCUUGAUUUUAUAAGUGGGGAAACCUGGAUACAUGUAUUAACAGAUGUAAAU